UAUGUGAUCGUCUCUCGCAUAUCAAUAAGCGGAGGAAAAGAAACUAACAAGGAUUCCCCUAGUAACGGCGAGUGAAGCGGGAAGAGCUCAAAUUUGAAAUCUUAAAGGGUUUCCCUUUACGAAUUGUAGUUUAAAGAAGUGUUUUCUGUUGAGGUUUUGGUAAAAGUUCUUUGGAAUAGGACAUCAUAGAGGGUGAGAAUCCCGUAUUUGACCUUCACUUUCAACUUUGUGAUACACUUUCAAAGAGUCGGAUUGUUUGGGAAUGCAGUCCAAAAUGGGUGGUAAAUUUCAUCUAAAGCUAAAUAUUGGCGAGAGACCGAUAGCGAACAAGUACCGUGAGGGAAAGAUGAAAAGAACUUUGAAAAGAGAGUUAAACAGUACGUGAAAUUGUCAAAAGGGAAGCGUUUGACACCAGUGUUGUUUUUCUGAAAAUCAAUUAAAGAACUGUUUAUGCUAAGUUGUUUAGACUUUAUCAGCUAUCUGUUUAGUUUUGAGCUUUUCUUUAAUGCACUUUUCAGUUAACAAGUCAACAUCAAUUUCUUUUGCUGUAAAAAAGCUUGAGGAAGGUGGCUUGAGAUUCGUCUUAAGUGUUUAUAGCCUCUUGCCUAUGCAGUCGGAGAGAUUGAGGUCUGCAGCGUAGAUCCUUCGGGGCUAAAUGCAUUUGUGCUAAGUUAUAGCAUUUUAUAGACAACUUGUUGACUAUGAUUUGUCUUGUAGCUUACUCGCUUAUGUUAUUUUACCUACGCUUAGGAUGUUGAAGAUAUGCGCGACACG
rnacentral:rRNA from 1 species